CUUGGAGAGGCAACUGAGGCGAUGCAGCUGAACCAACUUGUUCGGCUUGUGGAUCCAACGACCGGGAAGGAGGACUGAUGCUGAUCUGUGGCAGUGGCAGUGACGAGGAGAAUGGAACCCGGAUGCAUAUUCCCCUUGAAGCUGAAGCUGAAGCUACCCCAGGUGAUGGAGGAGAGUGGCUGUGCACCAGCUGCCACAAAAAUAAAUUCCCCCACAAGUCUGCCAAAUCAAGAGUGCUGAAACGUAGCUGAUCUCUCUGCCUCUUCUGUUCUACGGUAGCGAUGAUUGUCAUCUGUGCUGUGCCGGUGUAAAAAGUUUUUCUGCUUCAUGGUUUCUACGUGGUUUGCCAGCCAGUGAUCUCAAACUCUUCAUAUAUGAUAGCACAGUAUAGAGUUGGUUUUCAGUAAAUAAUUUUACACUUGCAACCGCCAAUAGUACAGUGCAGUACAGUUCACCACGUGAUUUUACAUACAUGUAUUAUACUACUACUACUACUACUCGGCACGGAAGCAAGCUAUAGCAACGAAGCAUUUGCAGCUCUUGAG
rnacentral:sRNA from 1 species